GUCACAUGUCCCCAGUAUCUGAGGAACAAAAAGAAGGGGAUGAAUCUUGAGGAAGAGCUUGGCUAAGAACAAGAUCUGAGGAACAAAAAUAAGGGGAUGAAUCUUGAGGAAGAGCUUGGAUAAGAACAAGGUGUUCGUAAUGGCAACGGUUGUAAUCAACGAUGAGAAAAAGGGACUGAGAUUGGAUUUGUACUAGGCAUGU